rnacentral:lncRNA from 1 species
CACCUCUCCUAUGAGGAAAGGCUGAGGGAACUGGGCUUGUUUAGCUUGGAGAAGAGAAGGCUCCGGGGAGAUGUCAUUGUGGCCUUCCAGUACUUGAAAGGAACGUACGAACAGGAGGGGAACGGCUGUUUACAAGGGUGGAUAGUGAUAGGACAAGGGAGGAUGGUCUUAAACUGAGGCAGGGGAGGUUUAGGUUAGAUAUUAAGAGGAAUUUUUUCACCCAGAGGGUGGUGACGCGCUGGAACAGGUUGCCCAAGGAGGCUGUGGAUGCCUCAUCCCUGGAGGCAUUCAGGGCCAGGCUGGAUGUGGAUCUGGGCAGCCUGGUCUGGUGGUUGGUGACCCUGCACAUAGCCGGGGGUUGGAACUCAAUGUGCAUUGUGAUCCUUUUCAACCCAGGCCAUUAUGAUCCCGUGAAUGUCUUUGACUUGUGUGCUUACAAGAGGAGCAGCAGCGUAGGCUAUUUGCUAUACAGUCAAGGAUGUCAUAUGUUAGUUCCUGAUGCACAGCACUGAGCAGGACAGAGACCUUGGUGGUACAGAGGACACAAGAAUGGCAGCACCCAGUGGCUGGAACUGUGUGGCCUUAGCAGCCAGGCCUGCUGUGAGCAGGCUUCAAGAAACAAAUACAGCAGAAAAGAUGUACUCCAGUACUGCUUGAAAAUAUGUGAGAGGAUGCUUCAAGGCCCAUACUGUUACUAAAAACAAAUAAUGUCUCAUCAGCAAGAAGAGAUGUCUUGGAGAAUAUUCUAAACUAGAAACUGACUUUCUAAACACAUUUUCCUUGUUUUACUUAUUGUCAGUUUUUUUCCAAACAAUGUGUACGUUGCUGAGAGAAUUUCUUCCCUUACGGAAACUAUUUUAUUUC